AUUAUUCUAGAUCGAAAUUUUUCCUUUUAUUUUCUUCUCUCUCUUUUCUGUCCUCUCUAGCUCUACCAACUCUGCAAUGUCCUUUGGCAACCUCCGAAAUAAGUUUCUGCCUCCACCUUUGCUAGGCUGCCAUUUCAAAAUGCCCAAGUUACAAGGUUAGAUUUUUCGUUGCAAUUACUUUGUGAUUGUUAGAUGUUAGGUGCAAUGUUAAUGUAUUAGUUUAUUUAGGAAAUUUUCUAUGCAUUAGUUUAGAGUUUUACUUGAAUUUAUGUUUAGGUUAUUAACUUGAAUUUUUAUUAGGAUUAUUAACUUGAAUUUGUGUUAAGAAAAUUCAGAUUCAAUGGUAAUGUAUAAGUUCUUUUGUAUUUUACUUGAUGGUUAGGGUUUAACUUGAAUUUGUGUUAAAAUAGAGACAUUAUUAAUGUAUUAAUUUUAUUUGUUAAGACUUUGGUGGUAAUGAUGAUUUUGAUUUCUCCUCUUUAUUUUGGAAUGACUAUAUAUGAUCUUCAUUGUCAAUAUAAAUAUAUAAGUUCUUUUUUUUUUGGGUAAACAAAAGCAUUUUAUUACAAAGAUGAGAAUUACAAAAUAGAGAAGAAGGAUAUCGUUAUAAAGGUUCCAUCUGCCUUCAAACCUCAUUAACCACUAUCACUAGGAAAACACAACAUUCCACUAUUUCUAGACUAGAUAACACUCCAGUGAUCGUGGCUUCACUUUAUGCCCCUUCUUAUAUUUUCACUAUUAGGAUAUACUAUAAAUCAUAUGAUUUUGAUGUACUAUUAUUUAUUGAAUGAUUAUUUAUUUAUUUAUAUAUUUAAUUUAAUAAAUCAUUACAUUAAAUAGAUCAUUGUCAUAUAUGUGUCCUUAACUUAUAUAGUAGAUGAUUUGGUGUAUAUAGUUAAAGCUUAUACACAGAAGAUUAAAUUAUCAGUUCUUAUAAGUUAAAGUUAUAGUUCACAAUCGUAGAUGAAAAUUUGGACUUACUAUCAGAAUGAUUGUAGCACAAGAUUAAAUGUAAUUUAUCUUUGAUUACGAGAAUGGUAUAGUUCUAACUUCUCAUGCUAGUGCAUUUUGUAUGUAUUGAAUUGGACCGAGUAGUGAUAGUUGUUUUGGACUGACUGAUAAAAACAUAUUCUCUAAAUUGUUAAAUGUACUUAUAUUCUCAAUCUUGAUAUAACUAUUAUGAUCUGUAUACAUUAUUUAUAGCAUUGAUCAAUUAAAAGGUGAGAUUCUGAGAUGGGUCAAUACUCCUGAUACACUGGAUGAUAAUAAUGUAUAUUGGUGAAAUAAUAAGUUAGUUGAUGGAAUUCAUGUCUUGGUAUGAAAAAUGAUCAUACGUCCUUUAUGACAAGCUUAUGAGUUUUCAUGCGUAAACUCGAUCGGUGGAUUUAUGAAUCCGACAUAUGAAAUAAGUUAAACAUUGUUCUAAAUGAAAUUAUAUAUUAAAUUCGGCAGUAAUUUAAUUUAUUGAUUAGUAUCUGUAAUCUUAAUAUGGAAAAUUAAUAAGUGUUUAAUGAAAAAUUCAAAAUUAAAAUAGAUGAAUGCAAUUACGAAUAUUUAAUGGAAUAAUUUAUAAUUUAUUAUGGUAAGAAUAAUUCAAAUUGAUGUUUUGAAUUAUUUUCAUAAUAGGGACCUCAUUAAUUAGUUCCGUGGUCCAUACAAUGCCCAUAUUAUACUUAGAACUCGGAAUUCUAUUUUCUCUAGGAAAAUAAAAAGUCACUGCUUGUCCUUGUUCAAGUAGAAAUAGGUGUGUGUUUUCUUUUCCUCCUUGGAUUGGGGAGUAUCUCUAUAAAUAGAGAUUUUCCUAGCCUAGAAAUUCAACAACAAGAAAAAGAAUUGAGUAUUUUAUUACAUACUUGCCCACCCAAGUAUUGAGAGAGUUCGGCUGUGAAUUUGGCAUCACUGUAGAAGACAACAUAUUCAAAGACGCAUUCGCUUCAAGAUAUCUUCUCACGUUUCAAGAGGUAUUUCUGAUUAUUUUUAAGCAUCCUUUGCGUGAAUUAUGUGUUCAUAUUGGUUGUGUAUAUUACAUGCAAGUGAUCUUGUCUAUUUGUUUCCAGUAUGCUUGUUUUCCAACAAGUGACAUCACGAGCCUACUUGCAUCUAAAUAGAUUAGUAUAAUAUAUUUGUAUAUAUGUGAUAGAGAGUGAUAUUAUAUACAUGAAUAUGUGUUUUUCAUUUCGUGAAUUGCGAUUUAGCGGAGAAAGUUUGUCCCAAAACUGCUUCCUUCGUGAUUGGAAUCUGGAUCAUGUUGGUGACGGUGAGAAGGACAUGAAUCUUUCUAAGUUUGACUCGUGUAGAAAAUAAUAAUAAAGAAAAGCAAGAACAAGAACGUGUUUGGAGUUUCCUGGCGAGGUAAGGUCACUCAGAAUCAGAGGAUUUAGAAUUUAAAUUUAAAAGUUGUGGGUUUCCAACUUAUAAUUUUUAUCAAUAGACUAAUAACACACUUUGUUUGUGGGUUCCAACUUAUAAUUCUUAUAUAUUUACUAGUUUUCUCAAUAUAAAUUUAAGAAUCGGACGAAAGUUAUGGGUUCCUGAGAACCGCACUUUAUGUUGUGCAUCCGCCCGCCCCUGCCCAGAAUAUAACUUUCUGAACGUUCGUUGUUUGCUGCACUUUGAGUGAUUGAUUGUUACUUUAUUUCUAUAGCAGCAUACAAAAAUUCAAGCACGUUGUGAUAUAUCUUUUGGUGAUUAUCUAAUUUUUUUCCUCUUUUUAAACUAAGAGAAAGAGUUGACAAUUAUUAGGCACAUUAUACCUUAUGGUAAUGGCAACUGACAUGUGCGUACUAGUACAAAUAUUGGGAACUAAUGAUUAAAGAAUUGUGAUCAUCAUAGUGGUAAAUUAAUUUCGGAUCAUUGAAAAGCUAUUAAUAUUUUGAACUCAUAAAGGUCAUAUCACUCGUUAAUCACAUGAACGUUUUUUUUCUCACAAUAUCUUAUAACGUAUGAAUAAGAAUUAAUGAUUAAAUAAUAAAUAAUUACUAAGAGAGUGAUUUAUUUAUUUGGAAACAUUCACAAUUCUUAAUCUUUUAUAUAUGUGGGAUUAUAAUACAUUUGAGAAUUAUGACUAAUAAAUAGGAUCCAUUAUAAGUAGUCUACUUAUUUGAGUUAUUGUAAAUUCUUAAUGUUUUAUAUAUGUGGGAUUCUAUUAAUACAUAAGUUGAGAAUAAUGAUUAAUAAAUAGUAUCUAAGAAAGUGAUCUAUUUAUUUGAGUCAUUAAAAUUAGCUCAAUAUAUUAUGUAUAAAUUUUUCCGAAUAAGUGUACAUGAGAACAUAUAUUAAAGGUUUUCACCCAAACGGAGAAAACGCAAUAUAUUGAACUCUUAGGUAUAUUAAUGAAGAGAAAUAAGUUGUGUAAAGAGGGUUCAUCCCUAUGGUUACCAAGAUUAAAUAGUAAUAAAGUAUUAAGUUUAUGUGUUGUCUUGGACCUUCCUCCCUAUCGAAUGAAUUUAGUACAAGUCAUGUAUAUAAUCUUUAGUUUGAUAAUCUGUAUUAACUCUCCUAAACUGAGUAAUAUAUGAUUGAAUCAAUGUAACUAGAGUAGGUUUUCACUUAAACUAAUAGUAUACUCUCCAUCUGAGUUUGGUCCGUAAAAGUUUAUGAAGUGAAUAAUUGGUUAUUAUAUAUGUUUAUUGCAUGAGUAGUUCUCCAAUCCCAUCGAUUGGUUAUUUGAGAUGAAUAAAUAUAUGUGUAUAUGAUGAGUUUGAACUUAACCGUUCAAUGUAUAUAUGAUUAUGUUGAUGAUCUAUUGUAAUAUUUUUCAAUCUUAGAUUCAAUAUGUCUCCUUUUACCUCUUUUAGCACUAUUUUGAGUCAAAAUAAACUUGAGAACCAUAAUUUUAUUAAGAAAAGUUCUAUUUUUAAAUCAAAAUAUGGAAAGAAGAAGAUAAAGACUCACAAUACUAAGAAAUGAUAGCUCUAACUGGCAGUGUGAAAAAUCCUAACGACAAGUGUUUUCAUUACAAGAUAUUAGGCCAUUGGAAGACACAUUGUCCAGUUUUCCUAGCCAAGAAGAAAAACAAGCUAGAUUCACUUUCACUUGUUGUUGAAACGUGUUUAGUGAUUGUUUCUACCACAUCAUGAUGUGUAGAUUCAGGAGCCACUGAUCACAUCUGCACUACUUUGCAGGGGUUUUAAGAAAUGCGCAAAGUUGAAUAGAGGUAAAAUUUGUGUUUUUCAGGCUGAUGAUUCAACAACUCCAGCUUUAGCAUUAGGAAGUAUUAGUAUUUCGUUUGAUAAUUGUAGAGUUUUAAUUUUAAAGACGUAUUAUAUAUAUCCACUGUUAGAAGAAAUUUGAUUUCAGUUUUUGAAGUUUUGAGAUAUGGUUAUAAUGUUAAUUUUUUUUAAUAAUGGUUGUGUUAUUAGUUAUCAAGUACCUACGACAUGAGAAAUUUAUCAAGUAGAUCUAAUUGUAAUACCCCGGGAAAUUUUUCGUUGAAAUUUUGUACGUAAACAUGUUGGGUUCUAUCUUCUAGAAUGUACUAUAAAUUUUUUGUGCGGAAUAUCUUAGAUUAUGACCCACCAUUGCAUAGAGUAUCAAAUAAACUUUCAGACGAUAUGUGGAUCAUCCAAAUCGGACACCCGAGCGACGAGUUAUGAACAUUUCGAUCGAACUGUGAAUAGUAGUGAACAGUAAAACGUGCAGGAAAAAGUACUGAGGCCUGGUGUAUUUUUGCUCCAACUUUAAACGAUCAUAACUCCUUGUACAUAAUGAUCUGGGUGAUCUACUAUAUAUCAACGGAAAGCUCUGCGAGUCCUCUCUCCAAUGAAAUUGGUUUCAUCCAAUUUGUCUAUCGAAGCAAAAAGUUAUGGUCGAUCUACUUCAGCCUAUCAAAAGUGAAUUUUUGGGUCAACUUCAAACAAUCAUAACUCCUCGUACAUAAUGAUAUGGAUGGGAUACUAUAUAUCAACGGAAAUAUAUGAGAGUCCUCUUUCUAAUGAAAUUGGUUUCAUCCAAUUUGGAUAUCGGAGUAAAACGUUAUGGUUGAUCUACUUCAGACUAUCAAAAUAGUCCACCAAAGGACAGAUUCGAG
rnacentral:lncRNA from 1 species